UUGAAAGGGAAACGAUUGAAGUCAGUCGUACCAGCGGGAAAUCAACCUUUCGAGUGGGGGUUUUGGAGUUUUUUGAAGAGUGUCAAAACCUUUGAGAUUUCAAAAUAUUCGCUCUUUUGGUGUACUUUCUCGUGGGUAGGUUAACAUCGAUUUUGAUCAUCAUAAAAAGAUUGGAGGAAUGUAGCUUCGAUCUUGUAUUGAAGUGUUAUAGCCAUUGGUAAAUGUGAUGAUUAGGAUCGAGGAUUGCAACGAAUACCCUUUUGGGCUAUCCGCCUGAUCUCUGAUACGUGGCCUUGGUAUCGAAAGCGUGCUUAUGGUAUUGAGGUAUUACGGUCAAAAGGUUAGAACGGAUUACAUUCGUUAAGGAUGUUGACGUA
rnacentral:rRNA from 1 species